GCACGUUCACCCUUUGGGGCGCAGGCAAUCUAACCAUGGAACGGGGGUUAGGU
ncrna:unclassified sequences Glutamine-II riboswitch (downstream peptide RNA)